rnacentral:misc_RNA from 1 species
CUGAAAGGCCUUCAGUGUUGAAGACUUUCUGCACAGCCUCAGCUAGAAGGUGAUCGCAACGAUCUUACAAUGGGCUUUUUCUUCCGAUUCGGUAACCCACGCAAUCCCAGGUGUCGCAGGGGCGGCAUGGGCAGGUUCAGGGGGAGGGGCGGUCGCAACCGAGGAGGCGGACGACGUCGAUGCAUUGGUUCCAGGCGGGUGCCCUCAUAUUGCAGCCCCAACUCUCGACCACGCCCUUCAGAAUGUGACGAAAGGUUCUUUCGACCUGGAAUCGGUAAUUUUUUUUAACCAACUGUUUCCGAGGCCACGCCCGUCAACACGCCCAGGGCCACCGGGUUCACGACCGCAAGGCCCGUCGCCACGCCCACCAAUAGAAGAAUGUGAAAUACCAACUGUAGGGCCCGACUGGGAGCAAGCCACGCAGCAGCAAGAAGAGACAAUACCAGAGGAGCCAGAUGUAAAAGAAGAAGAGCUGGCAACAAAACUGCACGUAACUGGGGUCGACCUUCACUACGCCGACAAUGCCAAGGCGCAUCACACUGAUAUGUACGCAUGCGCGAAGGGAACUGAAGGCAGAGACGCAGAGCUUGUUCUUCGUAGAGGUCAAGAUUUCAAGAUGACCAUCACCUUCGACAGGCCGUAUGACAUCAAGCAGAAUGAUAUCACGUUGAUGUUUAAUUUGGGUGACGACUACAAACCCAACAAAAGUUUGAAUGCAUCCUUCAGGGUGGACGAAACUGGGGCCACCAAGUACAAGCCGAAGUGCUGGGGUGCGACGGUCAUCGGUCAGAAGGGCAACUCCCUCACACUGUCCGUCUUCGUUCCGGCAACUGUGCCCAUCGGCGAGUGGGAAUUCGCUGUCCAAACUAUCGUGGACGUCAAGGACGGCAAGAACAUUGUCUGGCAGUACGACCACACAGCGGACGCCAUUGACAUAAUAUUCAAUCCAUGGUGCAAAGAGGACUGGGUGUACAUGGAGGACGACGUGUGGAGGACAGAGACGGUCCUCAACGACAACGGCACUCAGUACUACGGCACCUACAGCAAGGUCGGGGUGUCAGCCUGGGCCUACAACCAGUUCAGCUAUGGCAUAUUGGACGCUGCUCUUCACCUUGUGAGGAAAUCAUACGGAUUCCAGGCCACUCCAGCCAUGGCCAGCCCAGUCAAAGUCUGCAGGAAGAUUGCCCAGAUUGUUAACUCCUCCGACGAUGACGGGGUCCUCGUGGGCAACUGGACCGGGAAGUAUGCUGGGGGUGUUGCCCCGUCCACGUGGGUGGGUAGUGAGAACAUCCUAUUGAAGUAUAUGAAGACAGGGAAACCAGUGCGGUACGGCCAGUGCUGGGUGUUCUCCGCUGUCACCACGACUGUGUGUAGAGCUAUUGGGCUGCCUUGCCGCAGUGUCACCAACUACUCCUCUGCCCACAACACCGACAUGGCCAGGCUCAGCAUCGACGUCAUCAAAAGACAAGUGGGCCGCAAGAUUGAAGAAGUCAGGGAUGACUCCACAUGGAACUUCCACGUGUGGAAUGAGGUUUACAUGAGACGCCCGGAUCUGAACACAGACGCCAUGAAGUACGAUGGGUGGCAGGUUAUUGAUGCCACACCCCAGGAACGAAGCGAUGGUGUGUACGUGUGUGGCCCAGCCCCUGUCGUUGCCGUCAAAGAAGGUCACCUAGAUGUGGGGGACGACACCAGCUUCGUCUACGCCGAGGUGAACGCCGAUAAAGUGGAAUGGACGAACAGCAAUCAGCUCAAUGCCUUGGUGGAGACAAAGCGAUAUAGAAAUGUUAUCGGCAAGUGCAUCAGCACCCACAAACCGACAGGGAAGCCCUACGUCUCUUCUUCAACAGGCAACUUGAUGACUGGGGAUGACAGGAUGGAGAGGGAAGACCUCACUAAGUGCUACAAGUACGAAGAAGGAUCGGUAAAGGAGAAGGAAAUUUACAGAGCUGCAGAGAGGAAGUUCCGUCUGAUGAACGGUGACGACAGUGACCCGGCCAAAGCCGCUGCCCAGCCGCAGACUGGCAACCUUGACAUUGAGAUUGAGGAGAUUGACGAUAUCACAGUAGGCAGCCCAUUCACCUGCAAGGUGAAGGUCAAGAACACUGGCAGUAAAUCAUUACGUACCGCCGAUGUGAUGCUCAAGGUGAUGUACAAAACCUACUUCGACGCCGUCACGGGGAUCGCUGCUGAAAGCACAGUGGACAAUGUGAAGCUGAGGGCUGGUGAUUGCAAAGAAUUCACCAUAGAUGUAACGAGAGAGGAAGCAUGCGAGAGGCCUGAAGAUGAAUUCAACUUCGAAGUGAAAGCUGAUGUCAUUUGCUGGGAGGAUGAGAGGGACAAUGCUACAAAGGACCUGGACUUCCGCCUGAGGAAACCCGACCUGACGCUCUCGGGUCCGGCGACGUGCACCCUCUCUGAUACAAUCAGAGUGGAAGCUUCCUUCAAGAACCCACUGUCGGUGCCGCUGACGGGGUGCUCGGUGUCGCUCGCAGGAGGAUUUGCCCCAGUAGGCAUUACCAAGGAGACCAUGGAGAUUAGGAACAUCGGGCCUGGCAAAUCUUGGUCCACCACUCUCAAUCUCUGUCCCAAAGAGGCUCCCCGCGGGGCGAAGGCACGAGCUGUUUGUUUGGGGUUCGAUUCCAAGGAGCUUCCUGACGUUACAGGGAAGUUCUCCUUGGAACUUGUGGAAGAGGCUGCAGUAAAGAUAACCAAGUAAUUGAAAACUUCCUACAGCGUUAUGUAACAGCGUUUGAAAUGUAUUCUUUUCUUCAUUUUGUUAAACUUCCAAAUAUCUUGGUGAUGGUAGAACUAAUACGUGAACGCUUGCGUAGCCUUGAUGGUACCAUUUUAGGCUGAUUGACGUAUGGUAUGAUUGAGCGGCCACUGUGGUAGAACUUGGAGGCUGAUAGGAAAGAACUUUGAAAAUAGUGCCUUCCAGAUUUGAGGAAAGUGUUCUCAGAGACCAGAGGAUGAUGUUUCAUCUCUUUGAUGAUGCUGUUGAAUAGAUUUGCAGAUGAACCAAUGCUUUGAAGGAACCGUUUAGACCUUUGAAUGUGGUUUGUAUUGGAAUGGAGAGAUGUCCGACGAUUUCGUACGGUUUUUGUCGCUUUUGUUUUUUAAGCUUUGGUGAUACUUUCUAAGUAAACUUAGGCUCAGUAUUAUUCGUUACACUGCUA